CCCUUCGAUAGCUCAUCUUUGCGCGUCGCAGUCGCGCGGAGCCCGGCUUCCGACGUGCAGCCUGGCAGUGCAGUGGGGAACUUCCUGUGUGCCUUCUAUCCUGAUGACACCCCCUCACUGAAAUCCUGGUGUUGUUUCCACAGAGCUGUCUGGCCUUUUGUCCUUGAUCCUUGGUUAAGGAAAUGACCAACCAGCCCAUGAUGAUGCCAUUUGGUCAGUUGCUUGGGGGACAAACAAGAAGGAAAACUCUGAGACAGUGGUCACAGGCUCCCUAGAUGACCUGGUGAAGGUCUGGAAAUGACCAUUGGUAUUGCAUAGUCACAGGGACCCAGAAUUUCAGAUGCCAGGUAAAGUGUGUUCUGUGUGAAGAAAUCCAUUUCUCUGUCCCCUGUUGAAGGCGUGAUGAGAGGCUGGACCUACAGUGGAGUCUGGAGGGACAUCAGCUGGGAGUGGUGUCUGUGGACAUCAGCCACACCCUGCCCAUUGCUGCAUCCAGCUCUCUUGAUGCUCAUAUUCGUCUUUGGGACUUGGAAAAUGGCAAACAGAUAAAGUCC
rnacentral:sRNA from 1 species